GGUUACUAGACCAACAAACUAUGUAUCUGUCGGCGUUUCAAGAAGUACCCGAAAACUAAACCUUAAGAAUAAAAUCCCGAAACUAGAGGAUUGACCCGAGAACCAACAAGAAGAUCCAUCUGGUCGACGACGAAGACAACAUUCUGGCAUCCAUGGCAGUCCCGACAGUCACUCAAACCCAAUAAACCAUCACAGAAACAAAAACCGUCACCAAAGUCCGCACCAACCAAAAUUUAUGCCACUGGUAACCACAUAAACAAAAACAAUCCCCAAUGGUCCAAAGUGAAACAACUAUCAAUAUUGAGGAACCAAAUGUUAAUCGUUCAAAAGGGCGCCCAAAAUUGGCAUAAAACGGUCCUUCGAAUCGUCCAACUGGACACCGAAGCUGGCGCAAAACGACGGUGUUUCGUGUGUUGAUAUCGAAGUACGCGCGUGUCGGUCCAAUUGCGCUGGGGCAGUUCGAGCGCUUGUAACCAGAGCCGCCACGAUACUGACGGAAGACGCGCACCACUCUGGCACCGCACGCUUUGAUAAGCGCCGCCGCUUCCACGGUGCUCUUGACGGUUCGUCGCGGACGCUGCCUGUUUCUGCGAAAAGGAAGCUGAUCUGCUCUGUUUACCGGAGCACCGGACAUUUUCACUCGCUUAUGCUUGCAUCCAAAGUCAUUUUUAUUCUGGAGAAGUCGGUUACAACCGUGAUUAACCCGUUCGUGCUGUGAUUUAUUAGUUAGCACAGACGGUGUACCCCCAAUAAAACUUAGAGUUGAAAACUGUUAAUGUGCAAUUAGUUAGUUCUUACAUGCUAUAACUCCAGUCAGUGCUUAAGUUCUUGCACAAUCUUCAGUUACAAAAAUAAAAAUGAAUAAUUGAAUAUACUUUUUUUCGCAUUUAAUUCUUUUAGUCAUUAAUUCUUCGUAUGUAACAGUUUAUCAAGCCCCAAAAGUGUGGCUUAAGAGCCGGUGUGGUCCAGAUGAAUUAGGGAAAGGUAGUUAUGGUGGCCGUUAGUGUAAGCCAGGGACGAGACAUGCAUAGUUCAGUUCCUCGGAGUGUGCUACAAGUCCGCGGUGGCGACCGCGACCGUUAAUUUCUGCUGCUGGGGCGAAAUAUAGCACAAUGAAGUAUAAAAUAUAAUUCUAAUUAUGUAUUAAUAAUAUCACCACACCCUUGAAACCGUGGUCGUCUUACAAGGGAAAAAUUUUAAUAAUUAUUAUAAGAAGGCUUGAAGAUGAAAUUGGUGGCUGGCUCCAAAACUUACACUUCAAUUGUUGUUGAAUAUUAUUGUAAAUGAUAUAUAUUUUUUAUAUUAUCUAUUACUAUAACUUUUUAUAUUUAUUAAUUUGACCAACAAUAAAUCAAAAGACGAAAAAAAA